rnacentral:tRNA from 1 species
GACGGGGAAGCUCUGCGGUGGAGCACCUGGCUCUUCCGGGUGGACGCAGGUUCGAAUCCUGCCCUCGUCG